AUGUCCUGUCAUGAAGCCCAUUUCUGGAUCUUACCUCUUUUUCAAGUUCUUGCAGUCCAAUGCUUUUACAAACUGUUGCCAGUUCUUCCUCAUCUAGAUAACCACUGCUCCCAACCCCAAGCUCUUCCCAGAUUCCCCGGACCUGGUUCUCAGUUAUAUCCAAGGUGGUAUGAGAGGUGGUGUGUCAGGUACUGCAUUCGAGCAACUUAACUGUGGAUAAUUUUGAAAAUCUAGACAAACAACAACAAAAAAAUCAAGUAAAUUAGAUUAUAAUAGCAAUAGCAACAAACACCUCAAGUUUAAAUCUGGUCAACCUGUAUAAGUCUUACUAUCUCAUCGAACCCCAUCUUAAAAUCCUUUUCUUUUUCAUUGCUAUAUUCCUAAGAAAUAGUAGUCUAUAUUGUCUACCUCUACUUCCUUCUCACCAAUCCUUUGCCAUCUAGCUUCCAAUCUCCACAAAUUCUAUCAAUCGUCAUGCACUUAUUAAGCACCUACUAUAUCCCAAGCCCUGUGCUAGGCUCUCAAGAUACAAAGAAAACAAGUGAAAAUGGUCCCCAUCAUAAAGGACCCCCUGAGGAAGAAGGAAAGGGAUUUUAUUAAAAAAGAUAUGUGAUCUUUUAAUUGCUAUACCUGAAGACUUACCUGUUCUUAGCCCAUGUUGUCCUUAACCUCUGUGUAGCUUGACAACAACUACCUUUGUGUUUCACUUUACUCACAGACCCUCUUAUCAUCAGACAUCUGAACCCCACACUAUGUUUGUUCCCUUCAGCCCUGGAACUUCUGGCCUGGUGCACUUCCAUCCUCUGCAUCCCCUUUGAUGAGUGCCUUGAUGUGUUUCAUUCACUAGAAGCCUCUGACAGUGGAUCACUUUCUCUCUGGUCAUCUUCUCACCAGUUGUCUUGCUGCUAGCCUUUAUAUCUUCCUGGCUCUCCUUCAAAACCCAAUUUAAAUGCUACCUUAUUAAAAAAAGCUUUCCAUGAUCCCCACCACCUUUUAGUCUCCCAGAUUAGUGAGCUCUAUGAGGAAAGGGUCAAUGUCUUAUCUAAAUCUUAUAUCUCCCCCAGGAUCUAACCUAAUAUUCUGCAUGUACAAUAUUUAUUUACUAGAACUGAUUAUGAGAAUUCCUAUAACAGGGCUGUCCCUUCUUUUUCUUUCGUUCCUGUAGGUCAUGCCUUCUGUACUCCAAGAUGAUGCCAUGUAGCAACGCUUGGCAAGGAAAUGAAUUUACCUUUUCCAGACCCUUCCUAUUAAUAUGCCAUAUACCUAACUUUCUAUCUCCCUUCCCAUACCACAUGAAUGUUAACACCAUUCCACUUCUCAUUUCCCAUUAGUAGGGAGGAAAAUACAAAUUGAUUUUCAUUAAUCUUCACAUUAUCACUGUCAAGUUGUGGUACACAUUAUGACUUAUUUCCCAAAAUGAAGAAUUGAGGCACAAAGAUAUUAAAUGACUUAACUCAAGUUAUAUAAUGAUUUAGAGCCAUGGCCAAGAUUAGAAUCAAGAGUUGUGAUGAAAAAUUCCCUACCCAUUUAUAUGAGGAUUAAUUUUAAUGUUAGCAGUAGUUUUGAGUUAAUCAUAAUUGUAAUUCAGUAAUGUUAGCAUAAGUGAUUAUUUUAGAGGGUCUUUUGUGAUUAUUUUAGCAUAAGUUUUAUAGUAAGAUAACUGCUUGAAUAUAGUUAAUCAUUGCUAGCAUAGGCCUUAGUUUUGGGCUUUCGCCUCAAAAUUGCUAUAUCACAUACCCUCAGCAAUCAUGGUCUUGAACUUGUGACUGGAUCUUCAUUAGCAUAGAGGCUUUUGCCUGGUGACUCCCUUUUUCCUUUGUAUAUACCCGAUACCUCAUUAAGCUUUUGCCCCACUUUGGGGCCUGGCACCCCCUCCUUACCCUAGUCAUCUUAGUAUACAUCAUCCUUGAUAUCAUCAGGCUUAGAAAGUAGGAUUCAGGCUCACCCCUCUUUGUCUAUCAAGUGACUUUCAAGUCAUCACCAAGUGACUUCUUCUGCCAAUGAGAAGUAUUUCCUGAUUACUUCAACCAAUCUGCAUCCCUCACAAGACUUGGGGUCUUUUGAUCUUGACCAGAAGUCUGGAUUUAUUGUGAGACCAGCCCUCUUACAAUAAGCCUAUUUCUUGAUGGCUUGGAGAUUCAGUUUCUUUUAAUUGCAUUCCUCUGGUUAGAAAUUACACAACAGGUACCAGAUUCAAGAGUCUGUGCUUUCUCUUUAACAGAUUAUAUUAUUCUAGAAUUUGAAUCAUUGUGAGUAUAUGUUGCAAGGAGAGCAAAGCAGAAUAAAGAUUAACAGCACAAUGAAGGGAAUUUCA
ensembl:lncRNA